GACGAACGCUGGCGGCGUGCUUAACACAUGCAAGUCGAACGGAAAGGCCCUGCUUUUGUGGUGUGCUCGAGUGGCGAACGGGUGAGUAACACGUGAGUAACCUGCCCUUUACUUUGGGAUAACUUCAGGAAACUGUGGCUAAUACCGGAUAGGAGCUCCUGCUGCAUGGUGGGGGUUGGAAAGUUUCGGCGGUUGGGGAUGGACUCGCGGCUUAUCAGCUUGUUGGUGGGGUAGUGGCUUACCAAGGCUUUGACGGGUAGCCGGCCUGAGAGGGUGAACGGCGACAUUGGGACUGAGAUACGGCGCAGACUCCUACGGGAGGAAGCAGUGGGGAAUAUUGCACAAUGAGCGGAAGCCGGAUGCAGCAACACCGCGUGCGGGAUGAAGGCCUGCGGGUUGUAAACCGCUUUCGCCUGUGACGAAGCGUGAGUGACGGUAAUGGGUAAAGAAGCACCGGAUAACUACGUG
rnacentral:rRNA from 1 species